rnacentral:rRNA from 1 species
UACAGAGGGUGCGAGCGUUGUUCGGAUUCAUUGGGCGUAAAGGGAGCGUAGGUGGCGGGGUUAGUCAGGUGUGAAAUCUCGGGGCUCAACCCCGAAACUGCACUUGAUACUGCCUUGCUAGAGUACUGGAGAGGAGAUUGGAAUUUACGGUGUAGCAGUGAAAUGCGUAGAUAUCGUAAGGAAGACCAGUGGCGAAGGCGAAUCUCUGGACAGUUACUGACACUGAGGCUCGAAGGCCAGGGGAGCAAACGGG